AAAAAGGACAGCGAGCGGGGAGCCCCGAGGACCCCCUUUUCCCUGCCCAGGGAUUGAGCUCCAGAGCCUGUUAGGGAGCUACCCAGACAGGCUUUAGUUCCUAAAGUGCUGAGGAAACGCACGGGGCGGUAAAGGGGAGGCUCGUCGGUGAGAUGGCGCCGGAUCUCGCUUCUCAGAGGCAUUCAGAGAGCUUCCCCAGCGUGAACUCUCGGCCGAAUGUAAUUUUGCCAGGCCGCGAGGGACGCAGAGAGGGGCUGCCACCAGGCGGGGGCACGCGCGGUAGUCUUGUCCCUACCCGCCCGGUGCCGCCGUCCCCGGCUCCCCUCGGGACGAGUCCGUACAGCUGGAGCCGUUCCGGACCCGGAAGGGGCGGUGGCGCAGGGUCCUCGCGCGUCCCACGUGGGGUCCCGGGCCCAGCAGUCUGCGCACCGGGCUCGCUGCUGCACCACGCGUCACCCACGCAGACCAUGGCAGCCGCCGACGGUUCGCUCUUCGACAACCCCAGGACGUUCUCCAGACGUCCCCCAGCCCAGGCGAGUCGGCAAGCAAAGGCUACGAAAAGAAAAUACCAAGCGUCCAGUGAGGCUCCCCCAGCGAAACGGAGGAACGAAACUUCAUUUCUCCCAGCCAAGAAAACUAGUGUUAAAGAAACUCAGAGGACUUUUAAGGGGAACGCACAAAAAAUGUUUUCUCCAAAGAAGCAUUCGGUUAGCACAAGUGAUAGAAACCAGGAGGAGAGACAGUGCAUUAAGACUUCAUCACUGUUUAAAAACAACCCUGACAUUCCAGAACUCCACAGACCUGUGGUAAAGCAGGUGCAAGAAAAAGUGUUUACUUCAGCUGCUUUUCAUGAGCUGGGCCUCCACCCACAUUUAAUUUCCACAAUAAAUACGGUCUUAAAAAUGUCUAGUAUGACCAGGUAAGAACUUCAGGCUCCUCUUGAUUUCUUAGGCAUUACGUGGGUAUAACCGGACGAAACCUGUGUGUGCAAGGCAGAGCAAAUUUGUGUCUUGGCGUUGGAACACAGUGCCAGGUUAUCGACCAUAAAGGG
rnacentral:lncRNA from 1 species